UACGUAGGGUGCAAGCGUUAAUCGGAAUUACUGGGCGUAAAGCGUGCGCAGGCGGUUUUGUAAGACAGAGGUGAAAUCCCCGGGCUCAACCCGGGAACUGCGUCUGAUACUGGAUGGCUUGAGAUUGGGAGAGGGAUGCGGAAUUCCAGGUGUAGCGGUGAAAUGCGUAGAUAUCUGGAGGAACACCGGUGGCGAAGGCGGCAUCCUGGACCAACACUGACGCUGAGGAGCGAAAGCCAGGGGAGCAAACGGG
rnacentral:rRNA from 1 species